rnacentral:rRNA from 1 species
CCUACGGGAGGCAGCAGUAGGGAAUCUUCCACAAUGGACGAAAGCCUGAUGGAGCAACGCCGCGUGAGUGAAGAAGGGUUUCGGCUCGUAAAGCUCUGUUGGCAGGGAAGAAAGAUAGAGGUAGUAACCGGCCUUGAUUUGACGGUAAUUACGUAGAAAGCCACGGCUAACUACGUGCCAGCAGCCUCGGUAAUACGUAGGUGGCGAGCGUUGUCCGGAUUUAUUGGGCGUAAAGCGAGUGCAGGCGGUUCGAUAAGUCUGAUGUGAAAGCCUUGGGCUCAACCGGAGAAUUGCAUCAGAAACUGUUGAACUUGAGUGCAGGAGAGGAGAGUGGAAGUCCAGGUGUAGCGGUGGAAUGCGUAGAUAUAUGGAAGAACACCAGUGGCGAAGGCGGCUCUCUGGACUGCAACUGACGCUGAGGCUCGAAAGCGUGGGUAGCGAACAGGAUUAGAUACCCGUGUAGUC